rnacentral:rRNA from 1 species
CCUACGGGUGGCAGCAGUGAGGAAUAUUGGUCAAUGGACGCAAGUCUGAACCAGCCAAGUAGCGUGCAGGAUGACGGCCCUAUGGGUUGUAAACUGCUUUUGUACGAGGAUAAACGCAGACACGUGUAUCUGUUUGUAUGUAUCGUACGAAUAAGGAUCGGCUAACUCCGUGCCAGCAGCCGCGGUAAUACGGAGGAUUCAAGCGUUAUCCGGAUUUAUUGGGUUUAAAGGGUGCGUAGGCGGUCGGUUAAGUUAGUGGUGAAAUUCUGAGGCUCAACCGCGGAAUUGCAUCUGAUACUGGACGUCUAGAGAGCAGUUGCGGUAGGCGGAAUUUAUGGUGUAGCGGUGAAAUGCUUAGAUAUCAUGCAGAACACCGAUUGCGAAGGCAGCUGACCAAGCUACUACUGACGUUGAGGCACGAAAGCGUGGGUAGCAAACAGGAUUAGAUACCCUUGUAGUC